rnacentral:rRNA from 1 species
AAGUAGUACAACAAACUAAUUUAUAAUGGCGGCAUUUCAUCUAAUUAGAGGAACUUGUUAUUUAAUCGAUAUACCACGAUAACUUUUACUUUAAUUAAAAAUUUAUAUAUCACCAUUAAGAACUUUUUAACAAAAUUAUUCAAAAUUUAACAAAAAAAUUAGGUCAAGAUAUAAUUUACAUUAUAGACAUAAAUGAGUUACUAUAACCACCAAUUAAGGAUUAUUUAAUUUUAAUUAAAUAUAAAAGAGGAUUUAUAAAUAAUUUUGUAAAAAUAUUAAUAUAAACUGAAUAAGAAAAUAAAUGUGC